rfam:Oryza sativa (indica cultivar-group) chromosome 4, whole genome shotgun sequence.
UUUUAGUGUAUGACGUCGUUGACUUUUUAUCCAACGUUUGACCAUUCGUUUUAUUCAAAAAAUUUAUGUAAUUAUCAUUUAUUUUAUUAUGACUUGAUUCAUCAUCAAAUAUUCUUUAAGCAUAACAUAAAUAUUUUCAUAUUUGCACAAAAAUUUUAAACAAAACGAAUAGUCAAACGUUGGUCAAAAAGUCAACGGCGUCAUAUAUA